rnacentral:rRNA from 1 species
AUGGGUGUGCACUGGAAGCAUCGGGCGCGUCGGGACCGCGGGGGCGCGUACGUGCGUGUAGUUGACGUUGGGAGGAAGCGUAUGUCGCUGUUGUGCUCGAGUACGUGCUCGAGUUCAACUACAUCCUUUCGGCGUUUAUCGCAGGCGGCUGCCAUGGCGGAUGCGGAGGUGGCGCGCGGUGAGCGUCUGGUGCAGUUGGGCUCGUCGGGCGCGUCGGAUGCGCGCGGGACGUGCGGGACGCACAGGUGUGAUCGGGCUCGUCGGGCGCGUCGGGUGCGCACGGGACGUGCGGGACGCAGAGGGACGACAGGCGUGUGCCGCCAGCGGAGAAGGAGCUCGGCGUGUGUCGCGGGAGUCAUGACGGAGCACGGUGCGACCGGCGUCGGUGCGCCAGGUCGGGUCCACGGGCUGGCUCACGGCUGUGAUGACGACAACGACGCGAGCUGCAUCAACUCUGGCGACUGCAGCCACACGGCACAUCGCAGUGGGCGCGGAGGCGCAUGA